rnacentral:rRNA from 1 species
AGGGUUCGAUCAUGGCUCAGGAUGAACGCUAGCGGGAGGCUUAACACAUGCAAGUCGAGGGGCAGCAUUUCUAGCUUGCUAGAAGAUGGCGACCGGCGGACGGGUGCGUAACGCGUAUGCAACUUGCCUAUAACUUAGGGAUAACUUGGAGAAAUCCUUGCUAAUAUCUAAUGUGAUCAAAAAUUCGCAUGUUUUUUUGAUUAAAGAAUUUCGGUUAUAGAUAGGCAUGCGUCCUAUUAGCUAGUUGGUAAGGUAAUGGCUUACCAAGGCGACGAUAGGUAGGGGGCCUGAGAGGGUGAUCCCCCACACUGGUACUGAGACACGGACCAGACUCCUACGGGAGGCAGCAGUGAGGAAUAUUGGUCAAUGGAGGCAACUCUGAGCCAGCCAUCCCGCGUGAAGGAUUGAAGGCGCUCGACGUCGUAAACUUCUUUUAUAUAGGAAUAAACUUAGGUACGUGUACUUAAUUGAAUGUACUAUAUGAAUAAGCAUCGGCUAACUCCGUGCCAGCAGCCGCGGUAAUAC